rnacentral:rRNA from 1 species
UACGGGGGGAGCAAGCGUUGUUCGGAUUUACUGGGCGUAAAGGGCGCGUAGGCGGUCGUGACAAGUCACUUGUGAAAUCUCCGGGCUUAACUCGGAACGGUCAAGUGAUACUGUCGGACUAGAGUACAGAAGGGGCAACUGGAAUUCUCGGUGUAGCGGGUGAAAUGCGUAGAUAUCGAGAGGAACACCUGCGGCGAAGGCGGGUUGCUGGGCUGAUACUGACGCUGAGGCGCGGAAAGCCAGGGGAGCGAACGGG